rnacentral:rRNA from 1 species
UGCUUGAGCUAGAACUGCCAGGGGCUUGGGAACCCCGAGGCAGUUCAAGAGCUUUGCAGCAUUGUGAAGCUAGAAGGACCCACUCUCCUCUUUGUUAUGGAAACUAAAAUCAAUGCAAAAGGAGUUGAGGAUCUGAAAUACACUCUUGGUUUUGGAGGUUGUUUUUUUGUAGACAGUGAUGGCCUUAGUGGUGGCAUUGGUCUUUUCUGGCAUCGAGAUGUUAUCGUUGAGUUAAAGAAUGAAAGUGCGUUAUGUCAACUAGAGGGGGGGUGA